rnacentral:rRNA from 1 species
CCUACGGUGGGCUGCAGUGGGGAAUAUUGGACAAUGGGCGAAAGCCUGAUCCAGCCAUGCCGCGUGUGUGAAGAAGGCCUUCGGGUUGUAAAGCACUUUCAGUGGGGAAGAAAGCCUUGGGGCUAAUACCCUCGAGGAAGGACAUCACCCACAGAAGAAGCACCGGCUAACUCCGUGCCAGCAGCCGCGGUAAUACGGAGGGUGCGAGCGUUAAUCGGAAUUACUGGGCGUAAAGCGCGCGUAGGCGGUCUGAUAAGCCGGUUGUGAAAGCCCCGGGCUCAACCUGGGAACGGCAUCCGGAACUGUCAGGCUAGAGGGCAGGAGAGGAAGGUAGAAUUCCCGGGGUAGGGGUGAAAUGCGUAGAGAUCGGGAGGAAUACCAGUGGCGAAGGCGGCCUUCUGGACUGACACUGACGCUGAGGUGCGAAAGCGUGGGGAGCAAACAGGAUUAGAUACCCCAGUAGUC